CACGUAGGGUGCGAGCGUUGUCCGGAAUUAUUGGGCGUAAAGAGCUCGUAGGCGGUGUGUCGCGUCGGCCGUGAAAACCUGCAGCUUAACUGUGGGCUUGCGGUCGAUACGGGCAUCACUGGAGUUCGGCAGGGGAGACUGGAAUUCCUGGUGUAGCGGUGAAAUGCGCAGAUAUCAGGGAGGAACACCAAUAGCGAAGGCAGCUCGCUGGGACGUUACUGACACUGAGGCGCGAAAGCGUGGGGAGCGAACAGG
rnacentral:rRNA from 1 species